rnacentral:rRNA from 1 species
UACAGAGGGGGCAAGCGUUGUUCGGAAUUACUGGGCGUAAAGGGCGCGUAGGCGGCCUGCUAAGUCGAACGUGAAAUCCCUGGGCUCAACCCAGGAACUGCGUCCGAUACUGGUUGGCUUGAAUCCGGGAGAGGGACGUGGAAUUCCGCGUGUAGCAGUGAAAUGCGUAGAUAUGCGGAGGAACACCGAUGGCGAAGGCAAUCCCCUGGGCCUGUACUGACGCUCAUGCACGAAAGCGUGGGGAGCAAACAGG